rnacentral:rRNA from 1 species
UACGUAGGGACCAAGCGUUGUUCGGAUUUACUGGGCGUAAAGGGCGCGUAGGCGGCGCGGUAAGUCACUUGUGAAAUCUCUGAGCUUAACUCAGAACGGCCAAGUGAUACUGCAGUGCUAGAGUGUGGAAGGGGCAAUCGGAAUUCUUGGUGUAGCGGUGAAAUGCGUAGAUAUCAAGAGGAACGCCUGAGGUGAAGACGGGUUGCUGGGCCAACACUGACGCUGAUGCGCGAAAGCCAGGGGAGCAAACGGG